AACAGGAAAUUAAAGCACGUGCUAUCCUAUAUGGACACUGCUCCUAUUAACGCCAGCCCAGUUUGCAGUGCCCUCCUGCUGCCCAGCUCUGCAGCCCUGCAUGCCAACAGGACGUUUCGUUUGCUGGCUGAAAGCUCUCCUGCAAAAAGCAAGAGGUUAUUUUUGCAAGCUGCUUUUAAUCGUACAGGCUGCAGAGGCUCCUGAGGUUCACAGAGUGUUUUCUGCCUGGCUGCCCAGGGCCAGGUAGGCUGCUGCUGUUAACACUCAGGUUUGUGCAGUGCCUUUUGUCCAUCUGGACCUCGUCUGGUUCUGAUUCCUCCCUGUACUUUCCCAGACUAACAUCAAACCUGCUUAAAUCUCUCGUUCCCAUACGUUCUUUUCUCGACCCAAAUUCCCCCCGGUGACACAACCAACAUGUAUCUAAGAGGAAACAACCACGUUCAGCUCUGGAGAAUGCUUCUGCUCCCAUCUGACACGUGCUGCUGUGCAGAUGGACAAGAACAGGGCAUGCAGCUCAGGGACCUGGAGGUCUCAGGACCAUUCCCAGCCACGCUGACGUCUGUGGCCAUAGCACAGCACUCGCUCAGCACUAAGAGCAGGAGGUGAAGCAGGAUUUCUGCUCGCCACGCCUCAGGAACACUCCUGUGAUGAAGAGCAUCUGCCCCAACCCCGUCUGACGGCUGUGCCAAUGCUUUUCUUUUUCUUCAAGGAGACUCAUAUGGCUGAGAGGGCUUUUCUUCCUAGUGUGAUUUCAACAGAAGGGAAGGACUUAAAACUUGCAAUCCACUUGAGGAGGAAAAAAAGAUAUUGCAGUCAGAGCCUCGCCUCCUUCAGCUAUGUCUCAGCCGUGCCAAAGACAGAAGCCUGUGUUUUCCAUGGCACCUGAUGAAGAUGUGCUCGUGUUAUUCCACUUGAUUUGGCUUCUUCUUGCCUAAGGCUGCUUGCUGUCGCUUUGCAUCCCGUGAUCCCAAGCCCAUCUGCACUUCCCCAGGACAAGCACAGCAGUGUAUGUGCUCAGACCACUUCUUGGCAGCUUCUCUGAAAGCACCAAAAUGCCUCAUCCCGUGGAUUGCAGACAGCACUGAGCUGCCCAGCUCCGAGGGCUCGUGUGCCAAAAGUGCAGGAUCCAUCCACUGCCAGCAUGCACACCAACAUGGGAUGUGCCGCCUUCACCGCUGCUGCAACAUCUCACGGCUACAGAAGUGGGUUUGAGAGCAAAGAAAGAACUUGCAGCUGCUGGGAGAGCACGAGUGCAUCGCUGAGGCUUUAGGAGGACAAGGAAUGUCAGGUUGCCAACACUGCAUCCAAACCUCAUGCCCAGCUCUGCACAGCUCCUGCUCUCCAGCCGUGGGAACACCCCAGCAUCCAACCCUCUGCCACAAACUUCCUUUUCAAGCCCUCACCUCGCCAAGAGAGACCCAACGCUGUGAUCUGCAGGCUAAUGAGCCCGGAGAAAGAUUUCAAAUGCAUGCUGUGUGUUUAAAGCCUGGUUGGAGACGCAAACAAAAAUCAGCUUGGUGUUUCCGACACUGAGUCAGCGAUGGUUUCCUAAGGGCUCAGAUCUGUGCAUGGGGAGCAGGGCGGGCUGUGUGCAUGGCCAUGGAUUGCCACCAGGCAGCAGCCGGCUGAGGUGUCACCAGCAGCAGUGCCAUGGCGUGUCUGCACGCUCGGUGAGGGCUCGGUGCCUUGUAAUUACUGCUUACCCUGAGUUGAUACAGAUGUGCACUUCUUUCCAGGAUAAAAAUCCAUCCUUCCAGGAACAAUAUUGCGGACUAACCGGCUGGGCUCUGUUUCUUCCCUUGAAGGAGAAUAAUUCCCCAGAACUUGACCCAUUGACCACUGACCCAAUGGGAUCUUCUCUGGGAUCAGAUGCCACACGUGGGCUCUGCAGAGCAGGCACCUUGUUUAACCCAUCCCUGGGCAGAGUGAAAGCCACAGCCAACGAUGGACAGAAUAGACACAUGAAGGUGGUGACGCACUGAACAGGUUGCCCAAGGAGGCUGUGGAUGCCCCAUCCCUGGAGGCAUUCAAGGCCAGGCUGGAUGUGGCUCUGGGCAGCCUGGGCUGCUGGUUGGCAGCCCUGCACACAGCAGGGGGUUGGAACUGAUGAGCAUUGUGGUCCUUUUCAACCCAGGCCAUUCUAUGAUUCUAUGACAAUGGCCCCUUCCAACCCACUGCAAUUGGGGUGGCUCUGUGGACAUCACUGUGGCACUGGGAGAUGACACUGCCCUCCACCACGCUUUGGGAUGCCCUCUGGAGACCCAGAGGCUCUGCUUCUUAUUACCACGAACAAACUCAAAGGCUGUGAUGCAGGAAAUCAACGGCGCUGUUUUCUUCCACCUUUCAACUGAAUCCCACGUUUGGUUAUUUCUUAAGAUGGGCAAAACUCUGCUGCGACGCCACGAACGUAACGUCAGGGAAAUGGAGUGUUAAAAAGUGGACUGAAGCACUUGCAUGAAAUCAAUCCGUGCAGGGAAUGGCUUUGGAAGACCGAACUCUCGAGGUCACUCCACUCUCAGAACCUGACCACAGCACUGCCAAAGCAAUGAGAGACGAGCACAAACCAAACCCUUAUCCUCAACCUCGGAGCAUUCUCCAAAACAACAAACAAACCCAGCAUCACUUAACCAGCUGGUUUAAAGAGCAGCUCUUUAAAAGGAUAGAAGAAACAAGCUCAUUAAGCUGAAAAGCA